UGGGUUAUUUAAUUGGAGCACUGCUUCUUUUGGGUGUUGAAUUUGUUACUGCUAGGUUAUUUAAUUGGAGCACUGCUUCUUUUGGGUGUGGGAGCAAAUUUCAUAUUCGUAAUGCAAAAAAUACAAAGAAUUCUCAUAUAAGCCACUCAAUAGAUAUUAGAGAUUUGCAUAAUUGUUAAUUGCUGGAUCUUUUGAAAGGUAUUCCAAUGUCUUGGAUUAAAUCUCCUCCACCCAGUGGACAACUUUAAAUCAUGGACA